GGUCACUGCUAUUGGGGUUCGGCUAAGCCAUGCGAGCGGAGGGCGCGGUCGCAAGAUCGUGGCCCCGCACACGGCUCAGUAACACGUAGUCAACCUACCCUUGGGACGGGGACAACGCCGGGAAACUGGCGAUAAUCCCCGAUAGGUGAGGGACGCUGGGAUGCUUCUUCGCUCAAAGCUCCGGCGCCCGAGGAUGGGACUGCGGCCUAUCAGGCUGUUGGUGGUGUGACGGACCACCAAACCUACGACGGGUACGGGCGAUGGGAGUCGGAGCCUGGAGAUGGGGACUGAGACAAGGCCCCAGGCCCUACGGGGCGCAGCAGGCGCGAAAACUCCGCAAUGCGCGCAAGCGUGACGGGGGAACCCCAAGUGCCGUUGGCUUUUGAUCGACGGCUUUUCGGAAGUCCAAUAAGCUUCCGGAAUAAGGGCUGGGCAAGACUGGUGCCAGCCGCCGCGGUAACACCAGCAGCCCAAGUGGUGGCCGCGAUAUUGGGCCUAAAGCGCUCGUAGCCGGAUCAGCAAGUCCUUUGUGAAAUCGGGCCGCCCAACGGUUCGGCGUGCAAAGGAUACUGUUGGUCUUGAGACCGGGAGAGGUCGGAGGUACUCUUGGGGUAGCGGUGAAAUGCUGUAAUCCUGGGGGGACCACCAGUGGCGAAGGCGUCCGACCAGAACGGAUCUGACGGUGAGGGG
rnacentral:rRNA from 1 species